AUACGGAGGGUGCAAGCGUUAUCCGGAAUCAUUGGGUUUAAAGGGUCCGCAGGCGGAUUAAUAAGUCAGUGGUGAAAUCCUCUCGCUCAACGAGAGAACUGCCAUUGAAACUGUUAGUCUUGAAUUCGGUCGAAGUAGGCGGAAUGUGUCAUGUAGUGGUGAAAUGCAUAGAUAUGACACAGAACACCGAUAGCGAAGGCAGCUUACUAGACCUGGAUUGACGCUCAUGGACGAAAGCGUGGGGAGCGAACAGGAUUAGAAACCCCAGUAGUCC
rnacentral:rRNA from 1 species